UCUGAGAUCUGCUCUUACAGAAGUGGAUCAGUGAUGAAAAUAGCCAAAUCUGAGCAUCAGACCUUUUAGUCUACCUGAUACAUGAUCUCUGUAGUUCUGAGAAGCUAAAGAAUUUAAAAUAAAGUGUGUGUGUGUGUGUAAAGGUGACAGCAGAUAACUGAGGACUUUAUUGAUGGGUGAGUUGUGUGUAUUAAAGGCUGAUCAGUUCUGAGCAAUGAUGAAAAGGUUUUAUUACUAUGGACCUUUAUAACUGUGAAGGUUUCUACACUUGAUCUGAGCUCAGAAUUUUAAAAAAAACAUUCAGUAGCAAAAACCAAUUUUAGGGAUUUUCAUUUCACUUUAUUUUGGGGGAAGACACUAAGUUUUAAAAUUUUAAA
rnacentral:lncRNA from 1 species